rnacentral:rRNA from 1 species
GAGUUUGAUCCUGGCUCAGAACGAACGCUGGCGGCAGGCUUAACACAUGCAAGUCGAACGCCGUAGCAAUACGGAGUGGCAGACGGGUGAGUAACACGUGGGAACGUGCCCUUUGGUUCGGAACAACCCAGGGAAACUUGGGCUAAUACCGGAUAAGCCCUACGGGGGAAAGAUUUAUCGCCAAAGGAUCGGCCCGCGUCUGAUUAGGUAGUUGGUGGGGUAACGGCCCACCAAGGCUACGAUCAGUAGCUGGUCUGAGAGGAUGAUCAGCCACACUGGGACUGAGACACGGCCCAGACUCGUACGGGAGGCAGCAGUUAGGAAUCUUGGACAAUGGGCGCAAGCCUGAUCCAGCCAUGCCGCGUGAGUGAUGAAGGCCUUAGGGUUGUAAAGCUCUUUCAGCGGGGAAGAUAAUGACGGUACCCGCAGAAGAAGCCCCGGCUAACUUCGUGCCAGCAGCCGCGGUAAUACGAAGGGGGCUAGCGUUGCUCGGAAUCACUGGGCGUAAAGCGCACGUAGGCGGCUUUUUAAGUCAGGGGUGAAAUCCUGGAGCUCAACUCCAGAACUGCCUUUGAUACUGGGAAGCUUGAGUCCGGAAGAGGUGAGUGGAACUCCGAGUGUAGAGGUGAAAUUCGUAGAUAUUCGGAAGAACACCAGUGGCGAAGGCGGCUCACUGGUCCGGUACUGACGCUGAGGUGCGAAAGCGUGGGGAGCAAACAGGAUUAGAUACCCUGGUAGUCCACGCCGUAAACGAUGGAUGCUAGCCGUUGGAGGGUUUACCCUUCAGUGGCGCAGCUAACGCAUUAAGCAUCCCGCCUGGGGAGUACGGUCGCAAGAUUAAAACUCAAAGGAAUUGACGG